UCUACAGUUGCUCCGCGCGUAGCUGGCGAAUCUUUUGGCCUUAUCCACGUGGCCGUCUAAUUCCUAAUGGGGAAAACGCGUGGUCUUCCUCGGGAAGGUCCACGUUGCAUACUAUGAUUAUUGUAGUUUAUUGUUGUUACAAAUUUAAUUAGUGGCUUUUCAAUACACUUUAAUACUUUGGCCAUAAAACAAAAAUCUGCAGUUAAUGAUAAUUAACGACAAUGAAGAACAAAUAUACGCUCCCUUCUCUCUCGUUCAAGAACUCAACCUUUCAAAAGGGAAUCGCGUCCCAAACCCUUACAUCAAACGUCAAUCUUAAACUACCUUCCUUCAAAUAAAACAUUAUAGUUACAGAAAUCCAACAAAACCUAAGCAUGAUACUCGUUUAUGUCUACCGAUUCGAGGUAAUUUUCAGUGAUAUCAAUCAAAGUAAGAGAAAAAUCAGGGAAGUGAUAUGAACUUUACCAACUUAGAGAAUCAGAACGUCCAGCUUUCGGCGAUGUCGCUCAAGUUCUUCCGACGAGUGUUCUGAUUGCAACCAAUUGUCCAGACAAGAGCUUCAAUACGGAACUUUAAAAGAAGAAAAGCUUUUUGGUAAGGAUGAGGUAUCGAUUCCAACAGGGCAACGACGCUCUCCCCUUGCAAAUGAUUGGGAGUCUCCUUAUAUAGGGCUAAGAUGAGUGGUUCUUCAAUCAUGAGCUGGAAAAUUCUAGCGGAUCUUUCCGUUAGAGAACGGAUUUUGUUUGGAUCUCGUGUGGUCCCAGAGUGAGGGAAACAUGUACGAAUUCGUUGGUGGAAAAAUCUCUCCACAUAAGUGGUCCCUCUUUUGAUAUGACAUCACCAUCUAAUUUUAAUUUUCCUAUGUGAGUAUCUUGAUGGAAUUAACUUGAUGCCUUGAUUCAGUUUUGAAAUUUCCAUAACAUGCGCGACUUGUGCUUUGGUUCAGGUUUUGAAUAUGGUCAUUUUGGUUUUUCUGGGAUUUUUUUUUAUCUUUGUUAAUUAGGUGUUUGGUUCAGGUUUUGAAUAUGAUCAUAACAUGCGCGACUUGUGCUUUGGUAGGCAGACAUAUGCUUGUACUAUAAUAUAGUUUGGUCAUGCUGAUGUGACAGAGUAGCUUAUGGCUUUAUGUGACUCUACAACUUGUGUUCAUGGCUUUAUUUCGUGAAUUUGUUGCAGGCCUUAUACAGCAGGCUUCUCGCUUGGUUAGCAUGCUUCUUCUGCGUCGUUGUCUAACAGCAUAUAUCUAUGGCCUUGCUUUGUGCUGAAUUUUGACUGAGUAAUAAUUCUAAUUAAUUUAUGAAUGAUGUUUGCUAUGCAUGACUGUUACGGAUUUGUUUGACGGUGCAGGAUAUUGGCCAUAAGGUUCCAUUGUUUCCAGUUGGUACACUACUGUCACUUCUCGUUCAUGGCCCUUACUAUCAAUCCUGCGAGGUUCCAAGACAUGAUUUCAUUGUGUUGUUGAUGCUUAGCUUGGUGUAACCAAUGGAACGACUUUGACAUAUACUUGUCCUGCAUAGAAUCUUGUACAGUAUGCUUCACAUUAUAACCUUGCCCUCAUUUAUUCAUUAUUUUACUCCUGAUCUGACUGCUAUGGAGCUGUUCAGGUAUUGCAAAACUUGUGGCCAAUGUGUUUCCUGGCUCGUGCCUAUUUGCUAGCUUAUGGCCGUAUGCUUCUCCUGCGUUGUUGUCGACAGACAUGCAUUACCAAGUUGGUAUGUGAGUGGAUUUUAGUCAAUAAAUAGUUGUGUCUUUUGUGCUCAAUAUUUGAUCGACUUUGUGUAGUGCAGGUUGCAGUUGGCCUUUUGGCAUUCGUUUGGCUCAUUGCAGGUCGAUCUUGGCUUAACCACGCGUUUGUAUGACUAACUCAUGUCGCAUUCUUGUGAUAGCAUUGACUUAAACCAUUUGAGCCAUGUGAAUUGGUUGCUUUUAUUGGCUUUGCUAACUCAUGACCGACGAUUACUUUUGCCGUGUUUGUGGUAUGCAGGUUGCAGCUGGCCUAUUAUUCUGUUGUAAACGCUGGCCUAUUGUUCUGGUGUAAACAAGAUGGUUCUAUAGUAGAUUCCUCCUGCAUUGUUGUCAGUUAUUCGUGGUUAAAGAUUUGUUAGCGAUGCUGCAGACCUCACUUUUUUGAUGUCCAUUCGCUAUGUUCGGAGUAAUCCUCACCUCGCCACGUUUUGUUUGUAAUACCUAGUGUCUUAGGGUAGGUCAUUCAUCUGUGUUUAACCGUGUAUUUACGAUUUGAGACGUAUAUGGACCGGUCAAAGUUGGAAUAAAUGAUUGUAUGUUGUAUUGUUGGUUUGUAAAUGAAAGAUGUAAUUUAGUA